rnacentral:rRNA from 1 species
UACGGAGGGGGCUAGCGUUGUUCGGAAUUACUGGGCGUAAAGCGUACGUAGACGGCUUUGUAAGUUAGAGGUGAAAGCCCGGGGCUCAACUCCGGAAUUGCCUUUAAGACUGCAUCGCUUGAAUCAUGGAGAGGUGAGUGGAAUUCCGAGUGUAGAGGUGAAAUUCGUAGAUAUUCGGAAGAACACCAGUGGCGAAGGCGACUCACUGGACAUGUAUUGACGCUGAGGUGCGAAAGCGUGGGGAGCAAACAGG